rnacentral:rRNA from 1 species
AUUGAACGCUGGCGGCAUGCCUUACACAUGCAAGUCGAACGGCAGCACGGGUGCUUGCACCUGGUGGCGAGUGGCGAACGGGUGAGUAAUACAUCGGAACGUACCUUAUCGUGGGGGAUAACGCAGCGAAAGCUGUGCUAAUACCGCAUACGCCCUGAGGGGGAAAGCGGGGGAUCGCAAGACCUCGCGCGAUUAGAGCGGCCGAUGCCUGAUUAGCUUGUUGGUGGGGUAAAAGCCCACCAAGGCGACGAUCAGGAGCUGGUCUGAGAGGACGAUCAACCACACUGGGACUGUGACACGGCCCAGACUCCGACGGGAGGCAGCAGUGGGGAAUUUUUGACAAUGGGGGCAACCCUGAUCCAGCAAUGCCGCGUGAGUGAAGAAGGCCUUCGGGUUGUAAAGCUCUUUUGUCAGGGAAGAAACACCGGCUCUAACACAGUCUGGGAAUGACGGUACCUGAAGAAUAAGCACCGGCUAACUACGUGCCAGCCGCCGCAGUAA